UUUUUUCCAGUUGGUCUGAAGUCUCUAUUUCAACGAACCUUAGUCGUCCUUUCUUCAUAUCACUACCCUAUGGAGUAUCACUGAAAAAUUUCCUUAAGAAAACUGGGAAAAAGUCGAUCAUAUUUUAUUUCAAACAACCAUCACAGAACAAGACAUCUGCCAAGGCUGUGUUGGAUCUUGCUGAGUUGUAUCUGAUUGAGAAACUGUACAGGUCAUCAGCCUGUUCAUCUUUCUGUGCCAAAACACUCAAGGUUCCUCUUUUCAAAGGAAAUAAUGAAAACCCAUUUGGGGUUGUGGAAAUUUGUAUUGAAUACCGUAAUUGGAUCAGAAAAUUUGACAAUUUCAAGAGUGAGUCCUUACCCUCUGAUCAAAUAGUUCACAAAAGUUUGAGUGCAAGAUCCAGAAAUAAUUUGAAACAAAAUUUGCGCCAAAAAAAUGCAACUUCAUCAAGAAUCUCUGUUGAUGAUGGUGCUCAACAUCUUGAGCAAGAGCAAUCAAAUAAAGAUUCUACUGAUUCCAGACUGCUAAACGUAACUUUCUGUGUGAAUGAAAAUAAAAAUGUCUUGCAGGAGUCUCAUCAACAUACAUUCAGUGAUGAGUCGAAACUAGGAUCAUCGGAUAGUAUUCAGAUAACAGAGGAUGGUGGAGACACUCCAUUAACUAUUCAUUACGAAAGAGGAAAUCCCUCAACUGUCUCGAAAUCUGAUAGAUUUAGCCACCCUAUAUUUACUUUACCUGAUUGUAGAACAAAAACGCAAGAGAUGAGUGGCUUAAAUGAAAAAUCUGAGAUAGAUGCAGCACAGUAUUUAAGCCAGCUAAAAAUAAAUGAUGCCAGUCCGUAUUCUGGUGAAAGGCACAGACUAAAAAGAGUGAUGAAGCAAAUUUAAGCGCCCUCUCAAUUUUGAAAACGUCUCAUUUGAUUUCACCAAGUGCUGUCUCCUCACAUUUCCAAACCUCUGCAUCAAGUGGUAUGUUUGCUGCUCCCUAUUCUCAUUUGGUUUUGGGUGGCGAAUCAAUCAACAAUGCUUAUAAAAAUGGUAACGAAAACAUAGUUGCAGAUCAAACUCAACCAUUACUCGCUGGUUGCUUACCUACUACAAGUCCCAAUCAGAUCAAUGGAAGCAAAAGGAUGGCAGAAGAAUCAUUCAUUGGGCCUAACAGCACUCCAACCUUCAGUGAUGAACAGAUUUUCAAUUUUGAUACCGACAAAACUAAUACGGCUAAAUCACAUCCGCAUGAAUCGAGCAGAGAAAAUGUAACCUUAGCGAGCUUCGACCCGAGGAUCAAAGUUGAAGAAACGCUGUUUGAUAAAUAUGACAGCUUCCCAAAAUGUUCUGUUUUCAAAAUGGAUCUCGUUUUACCUGACUGUGAAAAUGAUGCAGUUCCUAAAACCUGUCUCUCUCCUGAAAUAAGGACUGUUUCAUCAGAUGUGAGCAGUAAACACGAAGAGAACUCAAGUAGCACUUGUUUGGCUGAAAACGCAAGAAACUUCUCUGAAUUUACCAAUGUUUCUUUUGAAAGAAGAAGAAAUUCUGAUUCUGGUUUCUUUGGCACAUCAGUGAUAGAUGCUGAAGAAUUUAGCCCAAGAAGGUCAAUCAAAAGUCAGUUCUCAAGUGAGCCAAAUAUUUGCAAGCCAUUGAAAAGUCGCCCACCUCUUGAUGACUUUGGCAUAUCUUUGAGAAACACAUCGCAAGAUAAAUGCUUUUUGGCUCGAAUUGGUAUCGUCCGAUCUUUCAAUAUUCCCAUGAUAAAACUAAAGGGCACCAAAAAUUUGACACAACCUACCACAUACGUAACUUUCCAUGAUUGCUUUAAACGGUUACACACCUCUUGCACAGUCGUUGAAACACUUAUACCUGAGUAUAACUCUCGACACAAAGCCUGGCUGUCAGCUGAACUGCUGAAGGAUCCCGAAGAACGGUUAGUUCUACAAGUUUGGUGCAAAAGAUACCAGAAUGAGUUUGCUGGACCUGAUUGUGUUAGAGAUCGCUGUCUAGGUUUUGUUUUUUGCAACUUAACCGUUUUGAUGCUCAAUUUUCGUUAUGCUGGUGGAUGGCAUCAGAUCAUAUCACCAUCUGGGAAGAAUAAUGGACAGAUACAGAUUCUGGUGAAACCACUUCAAAGUAUCGAUUUUGUGAAAGAUCUAGAGUGCGAGGUUCUUGUCCAUAGUGAGAGUAAUUUGAUCAACGACCUCCAGCCGUACAACUUCUACUUGAAUGCUGCUGUUACCAAACAGAAAAAUGAUAUUUCGUCCAAAGAGUUAUUGAGUCAAGAGAUAUUGGAACUCGAAAACCAGAUCAAGGAGUUGCAACUGUCUCAUAAACAACGGUCGAUGAAGGCAGAGUCAUCAAAGGUAAUAGCUGGAAUGAAUGCCGAAAAGAAUUCUCCCAUCAGUAGUGGUAAAGGCACAGCAAAGAAGAUUGCUAGAUUUCUAUCGUUCAGACGGAAAUCAAGAAAACAUAAAAGUCUACCAAUUUCUGAAGAUGGUAGCGGUUCUGUGUCAUCAGGAAGUGUAAUAGAGUCAGAAAAUAUCAGAAUCGCCAAAAAUAAUUCUGAUAAGUAUGACAGUGCUCCAGUGUCCAGUAAUGAGAGUGAGUCACCCUGCUCCGAAUCUGCCAAUGAUGGUAAGAAAGAGGUUAAAAAAUCCCCUUCUAUUUUUGUUCGCAGCUUUUCAUUCAAAUUGAGAAAAUCUGGAAGAAAAAGUAAAGUUCAUCAAAAUGCUUUGCUUCAAAAUUUACCUCUGUAUCAAAAAAAUUAUCCACAAAAUCAUGAUGAAUUUGAUAAAUGUAUGAAUAUAAAUUCCAUUUAA
rnacentral:lncRNA from 1 species